rnacentral:rRNA from 1 species
UACAGAGGUCUCAAGCGUUGUUCGGAUUCAUUGGGCGUAAAGGGUGCGUAGGUGGUUGGGUAAGUCAAAUGUGAAAUCCCGGAGCUCAACUCCGGAACUGCAUUCGAUACUGCCCGGCUCGAGGAUUGGAGAGGCAAUCGGAAUUCACGGUGUAGCAGUGAAAUGCGUAGAGAUCGUGAGGAACACCCGUGGCGAAGGCGGGUCUCUGGACAAUUCCUGACACUGAGGCACGAAGGCCAGGGGAGCAAACGGG